rnacentral:rRNA from 1 species
AUUGAACGCUGGCGGCAUGCCUUACACAUGCAAGUCGAACGGCAGCACGGGGGCAACCCUGGUGGCGAGUGGCGAACGGGUGAGUAAUGCAUCGGAACGUGCCCAGUAGUGGGGGAUAACCCGGCGAAAGCCGGGCUAAUACCGCAUACGACCUACGGGUGAAAGCGGGGGACCGUAAGGCCUCGCGCUAUUGGAGCGGCCGAUGUCUGAUUAGCUAGUUGGCGGGGUAAGAGCCCACCAAGGCGACGAUCAGUAGCUGGUCUGAGAGGACGACCAGCCACACUGGGACUGAGACACGGCCCAGACUCCUACGGGAGGCAGCAGUGGGGAAUUUUGGACAAUGGGCGCAAGCCUGAUCCAGCCAUGCCGCGUGCGGGAAGAAGGCCUUCGGGUUGUAAACCGCUUUUGGCAGGAACGAAACGGCGCGAGCGAAUACCUCGCGUUAAUGACGGUACCUGCAGAAUAAGCACCGGCUAACUACGUGCCAGCCGCCGCCGUAACAC